AGCGUACACGGUGGAUGCCCUGGCAGUCAGAGGCGAUGAAGGACGUGCUAAUCUGCGAAAAGCGUCGGUAAGGUGAUAUGAACCGUUACAGCCGGCGAUGUCCGAAUGGGGAAACCCAGUGCAAUUCGUUGCACUAUCGUUAACUGAAUACAUAGGUUAACGAGGCGAACCGGGGAACUGAAACAUCUAAGUACCCGAGGAAAAGAAAUCAACCGAGAUUCCCCCAGUAGCGGCGAGCGAACGGGGAGCAGCCCAGAGUCUGAAUCAGCUUGUGUGUUAGUGGAACGGUCUGGAAAGUCCGACGGUACAGGGUGAUAGUCCCGUACACCAAAAUGCACAGGUUGUGAACUCGAAGAGUAGGGCGGGACACGUGGUAUCCUGUCUGAAUAUGGGGGGACCAUCCUCCAAGGCUAAAUACUCCUGACUGACCGAUAGUGAACCAGUACCGUGAGGGAAAGGCGAAAAGAACCCCGGCGAGGGGAGUGAAAAAGAACCUGAAACCGUGUACGUACAAGCAGUGGGAGCACCCUUUAGGGUGUGACUGCGUACCUUUUGUAUAAUGGGUCAGCGACUUAUAUUCUGUAGCAAGGUUAACCGUAUAGGGGAGCCGCAGGGAAACCGAGUCUUAACUGGGCGUUAAGUUGCAGGGUAUAGACCCGAAACCCGGUGAUCUAGCCAUGGGCAGGUUGAAGGUUGGGUAACACUAACUGGAGGACCGAACCGACUAAUGUUGAAAAAUUAGCGGAUGACUUGUGGCUGGGGGUGAAAGGCCAAUCAAACCGGGAGAUAGCUGGUUCUCCCCGAAAGCUAUUUAGGUAGCGCCUCGUGAACUCAUCUUCGGGGGUAGAGCACUGUUUCGGCUAGGGGGUCAUCCCGACUUACCAACCCGAUGCAAACUACGAAUACCGAAGAAUGUUAUCACGGGAGACACACGGCGGGUGCUAACGUCCGUCGUGAAGAGGGAAACAACCCAGACCGCCAGCUAAGGUCCCAAAGUCACAGUUAAGUGGGAAACGAUGUGGGAAGGCACAGACAGCCAGGAUGUUGGCUUAGAAGCAGCCAUCAUUUAAAGAAAGCGUAAUAGCUCACUGGUCGAGUCGGCCUGCGCGGAAGAUGUAACGGGGCUAAACUGUGCACCGAAGCUGCGGCAGCGACACUAUGUGUUGUUGGGUAGGGGAGCGUUCUGUAAGCCUGCGAAGGUGGCCUGUGAGGGUUGCUGGAGGUAUCAGAAGUGCGAAUGCUGACAUAAGUAACGAUAAUGCGGGUGAAAAGCCCGCACGCCGGAAGACCAAGGGUUCCUGUCCAACGUUAAUCGGGGCAGGGUGAGUCGACCCCUAAGGCGAGGCCGAAAGGCGUAGUCGAUGGGAAACAGGUUAAUAUUCCUGUACUUGGUGUUACUGCGAAGGGGGACGGAGAAGGCUAUGUUAGCCGGGCGACGGUUGUCCCGGUUUAAGCAUGUAGGCGGAGGUUCCAGGUAAAUCCGGUACCUUUUUAACGCUGAGGUGUGAUGACGAGGCACUACGGUGCUGAAGUAACAAAUGCCCUGCUUCCAGGAAAAGCCUCUAAGCAUCAGGUAACAUUAAAUCGUACCCCAAACCGACACAGGUGGUCAGGUAGAGAAUACCAAGGCGCUUGAGAGAACUCGGGUGAAGGAACUAGGCAAAAUGGUGCCGUAACUUCGGGAGAAGGCACGCUGAUAUGUAGGUGAAGUCCCUGCGGAUGGAGCUGAAAUCAGUCGAAGAUACCAGCUGGCUGCAACUGUUUAUUAAAAACACAGCACUGUGCAAACACGAAAGUGGACGUAUACGGUGUGACGCCUGCCCGGUGCCGGAAGGUUAAUUGAUGGGGUUAUCCGUAAGGAGAAGCUCUUGAUCGAAGCCCCGGUAAACGGCGGCCGUAACUAUAACGGUCCUAAGGUAGCGAAAUUCCUUGUCGGGUAAGUUCCGACCUGCACGAAUGGCGUAAUGAUGGCCAGGCUGUCUCCACCCGAGACUCAGUGAAAUUGAACUCGCUGUGAAGAUGCAGUGUACCCGCGGCAAGACGGAAAGACCCCGUGAACCUUUACUAUAGCUUGACACUGAACAUUGAGCCUUGAUGUGUAGGAUAGGUGGGAGGCUUUGAAGCGUGGACGCCAGUCUGCGUGGAGCCAACCUUGAAAUACCACCCUUUAAUGUUUGAUGUUCUAACGUUGGCCCCUGAUCGGGGUUGCGGACAGUGUCUGGUGGGUAGUUUGACUGGGGCGGUCUCCUCCCAAAGAGUAACGGAGGAGCACGAAGGUUAGCUAAUCCUGGUCGGACAUCAGGAGGUUAGUGCAAUGGCAUAAGCUAGCUUGACUGCGAGCGUGACGGCGCGAGCAGGUGCGAAAGCAGGUCAUAGUGAUCCGGUGGUUCUGAAUGGAAGGGCCAUCGCUCAACGGAUAAAAGGUACUCCGGGAUAACAGGCUGAUACCGCCCAAGAGUUCAUAUCGACGGCGGUGUUUGGCACCUCGAUGUCGGCUCAUCACAUCCUGGGGCUGAAGUAGGUCCCAAGGGUAUGGCUGUUCGCCAUUUAAAGUGGUACGCGAGCUGGGUUUAGAACGUCGUGAGACAGUUCGGUCCCUAUCUGCCGUGGGCGCUGGAGAAUUGAGGGGGCUGCUCCUAGUACGAGAGGACCGGAGUGGACGCAUCACUGGUGUUCGGGUUGUCAUGCCAAUGGCAUUGCCCGGUAGCUAAAUGCGGAAGAGAUAAGUGCUGAAAGCAUCUAAGCACGAAACUUGCCCCGAGAUGAGUUCUCCCUGACUCCUUGA
rnacentral:rRNA from 1 species